GCUUUAGCGAGGCAGUCUCGGGCGCCCAGCUGUCAGAGCUGUUAGCCUGCUUAAACAGAGGAAAAUGGUACAGGCAGAGCUGGUCUGGUAUCAGGAAAAAGGCUGCCUACGAUAAUCCACUGCAGGACCCUAAAAGUCUCGACCUUAGGGCCCCCUCGGACCGUCUCCAAGGUCGGGUCCCGCUGGAGAAGGAGGCAUUUCGAGAGUGUUGGAAACACCUUAUUUGUAGAAUCUACGAAGGGACAUUUUGGAACCCAUUGAGACCUAUAGUGAAACACUGAUUGUUUCACAAUGAAAACUGAAAACGUUAUCUAGGAAAAUGCUUUGCGUGUGUAGAUUCUACUCAGACAGGUUUGAAAUACUCUAAGACAUUUUGGAGCUCUUGGGGCCUAUAAUGAAGAAACGUAUAUCCUGCGAUGAAAACUUGAAACAAGCUACCUGUGAAAAUGCUUUGCAAUGUGUAGAUUCAUCUGACAGUUAAACCUUUGUUUUGAUUCAACAGGGGUUUGGGAACAUACUUUUUAUAUAACUUAUGAAUGGACAUUUCAGAGCCCAUUGAAGCCUAUACUGAAAAUCCAAAUAUCCUGCGAUAAAAACUAGGAGUAAGCUAUCUGUGAAAAUGCUUUGCGAGGUUUGGAUUAAUCUCACAGAUUUAAGCUGUUGCUUUGAUUUAGCAGCAGGUUGGAAACCCUCUUUUUCUACAAUCUACUAGGGUACUAUUCGGACCAAAUUGAGGCCUAUACUGAAAAACUGAUUAUCCCGUGAUAAAAACUAGAAAAAAGCUGUCAGUAAAAAUGCUGUGCAAUAUGUGGAUUCAUGUCACAAAUUUAAACCUCUGCAUUUAUUCAGCAAGUUUGGAAUACCUUUUUGUAGAAUAUACAAAGGGAUGUUUCACACCUAUAAAAGCCUAUAGUAAAAAAGUUGGAUACACUCUUGUUGUAGAAUCUACAAAGAGACAUUUUGAAGUUCAUUGAGGUCUAUAGUGAAAAACCAAAUAUCCAGUGAUAGAAACUAUAAAGAAGCUAUCUCUGAAAAUACUUUAUGAUGUGUGAUUUCAUUUCACAAGUUGAACUUUUCUUUUGAUUCAACAGGUUGGAAACACUCUUUUGUAAAAUCUACAAAGAAACAUUUUGGAGUCCAUUGAGGCCUAUAGUGAAAAACUGAAUAUUUCGCCUUGAAAACCAGAAACAAGCUAUCUGUGAAAAUGCUUUGUGAUGGAAGAUUUAUCUCACAGAGUUAAACGUUUGUAUUGAUUCAGCUGGCUGGCAACACUCUUUUUGUAAAAUCUACAAUGGGACAUUUCAGAGACCAUUGAAGUCUACAGAAAAAGACUGAAUAUCCCAUGAUUAAAACUAGAAACAAGCUAUCCAUCAAAA